rnacentral:rRNA from 1 species
CGGCAGGCUUAACACAUGCAAGUCGAGCGGUAACAGGGGUAGCUUGCUACCCGCUGACGAGCGGCGGACGGGUGAGUAAUGCUUAGGAAUCUGCCCAGUAGUGGGGGAUAGCCCGGGGAAACCCGGAUUAAUACCGCAUACGUCCUACGGGAGAAAGCAGGGGAUCUUCGAACCUUGCGCUAUUGGAUGAGCCUAAGUCGGAUUAGCUAGUUGGUGGGGUAAAGGCCUACCAAGGCGACGAUCCGUAGCUGGUCUGAGAGGAUGAUCAGCCACAUCGGGACUGAGACACGGCCCGAACUCCUACGGGAGGCAGCAGUGGGGAAUAUUGGACAAUGGGGGCAACCCUGAUCCAGCCAUGCCGCGUGUGUGAAGAAGGCUUUCGGGUUGUAAAGCACUUUCAGUAGGGAGGAAAACCUUAUGGCUAAUACCCAUGAGGCUUGACGUUACCUACAGAAGAAGCACCGGCUAACUCCGUGCCAGCAGCCGCGGUAAUACGGAGGGUGCAAGCGUUAAUCGGAAUUACUGGGCGUAAAGCGCGCGUAGGUGGUUUGGUAAGCGAGAUGUGAAAGCCCCGGGCUUAACCUGGGAACGGCAUUUCGAACUGUCAGACUAAGUGUGGUAGAGGGUAGUGGAAUUUCCUGUGCAGCGGUGAAAUGCGUUA